rnacentral:rRNA from 1 species
UACGGAGGGGGCUAGCGUUGUUCGGAAUUACUGGGCGUAAAGCGCACGUAGGCGGCUUUGUAAGUUAGAGGUGAAAUCCCGGGGCUCAACCCCGGAACUGCCCUUGAAACUGGAGAGCUAGAAUCUUGGAGAGGCGAGUGGAAUUCCGAGUGUAGAGGUGAAAUUCGUAGAUAUUCGGAAGAACACCAGUGGCGAAGGCGACUCGCUGGACAAGUAUUGACGCUGAGGUGCGAAAGCGUGGGGAGCAAACAGG